rnacentral:lncRNA from 1 species
CACGAGGUCAAAUGCUAUUUCUAGAGGGUUUAGGGCAAAGGUUAGAAUUAGUGUUAGGGUUAGAAUUACAUUAAGGGUUAGGGUUAGGAGCUAGGGUUAGUUUUAGGGUUAGGAGGUAGGGUUAGAUUUAGGGUUAGGAGGUAGGGUUAGAUUUAGGGUUAGGAGGUAGGGUUAGAUUUAGGGUUAGGAGCUAGGGUUAGUUUAGGGUUAGGAGGUAGGGUUAGUUUUAGGGUUAGGAGGUACGGUUAGAUUUAGGGUUAGGAGCUAGGUUUAGUUUUAGGGUUAGGAGCUAGGGUUAGUUUUAGGGUUAGGAGGUAGGGUUAGUUUUAGGGUUAGGAGCUAGGGAUAGUUUUAGGGUUAGGAGGUAGGGUUAGUUUUAGGGUUAGGAGGUAGGGUUAGUUUUAGGGUUAGGAGGUAGGGUUAGUUUUAGGGUUAGGAGCUAGGGUUAGUUUUAGGGUUAGGAGCUAGGGUUAAGGUUAAAGUUAGAUUUUGGCUUAAGGUUAGGUUUAGGAGGGUUUCUGUUCAUGUUGGUGUCAAACCUUGGGUUGCACGAGCCUAUUGCAACUUUCUGCCCUGUUUCUAUAUUGUACAUCAGACCGGUCUG